AGGACAAACGCUGGCGGCGUGCGUAACACAUGCAAGUCGAACGAGGUAGCAAUACCUAGUGGCAGACGGGUGAGUAACGCGUGGUCAACCUACCGUUGAGUGGGGGAUAACUAGCCGAAAGGUUAGCUAAUACCGCAUACGAGUUUCGGGGGCAUCCCUGAUUCUUAAAAGGAGCAAUCCGCUCGAUGACGGGACCGCGUCCCAUUAGCUAGAUGGUGGGGUAACGGCCUACCAUGGCACCGAUGGGUAGCUGGUUUGAGAGAGCGACCAGCCACACUGGGACUGAGAAACGGCCCAGACUCCUACGGGAGGCAGCAGUGAGGAAUUUUCCGCAAUGGGCGAAAGCCUGACGGAGCGACGCCGCGUGUGGGAAGAAGGCCUUCGGGUCGUAAACCACUGUCGAAGGGGACGAUAAUGACGGUACCCUUGGAGGAGCCCCGGCUAACUACGCGCAGCAGCCGC
rnacentral:rRNA from 1 species